CCUACGGGAGGCAGCAGUGGGGAAUUUUGGACAAUGGGCGAAAGCCUGAUCCAGCCAUUCCGCGUGAGUGAAGAAGGCCUUCGGGUUGUAAAGCUCUUUCGCAAGGGAAGAAAACUUAGAUACUAAUAUUAUCUGAGGUUGACGGUACCUUGAUAAGAAGCACCGGCUAACUACGUGCCAGCAGCCGCGGUAAUACGUAGGGUGCGAGCGUUAAUCGGAAUUACUGGGCGUAAAGCGUGCGCAGGCGGUUUUGUAAGUCAGAUGUGAAAUCCCCGAGCUCAACUUGGGAACUGCGUUUGAAACUACAAGACUAGAAUAUGUCAGAGGGGGGUAGAAUUCCACGUGUAGCAGUGAAAUGCGUAGAGAUGUGGAGGAAUACCAAUGGCGAAGGCAGCCCCCUGGGAUAAUAUUGACGCUCAUGCACGAAAGCGUGGGGAGCAAACAGGAUUAGAUACCCUGGUAGUCCACGCCCUAAACGAUGUCUACUAGUUGUUGGUGGAGUAAACUCCAUGAGUAACGCAGCUAACGCGUAGAAGUACGACCGCCGUGGGGAGUACGGUCGCAAGAUUAAAACGUUAAGGAAUUGACGNGNGAGAGNGCGAGACGACGACGAGGGAGGAGG
rnacentral:rRNA from 1 species